GGGGUGGCCUUUGCGGAUGCUCAAUAGGUUCACUUGGACCUAUAUACCAAAUUAAAGAAUCAGGACUCCUUAUUUGAAUAAUCUAGAAUUCGACUCCAUCCAUUCGAGUCAGUGAUAUCGAGUGGUGGAGGUAUUGGGUAUAUAUGUUUAUCCGACGAUUUGAACAAUGGCAUCCGAUCAUUAGCAAGCAAAAAAGACUUGCCUCAUAAUUCAUGAGACGAUUGCACUGCUACAGCUCAUGUGGUACAUGAUUUACAGAAACAAUUGGAUGAUAUCCAGCCAACAAUUCGCAUGGUGUGUCUCAUGGCAAGCUACAAAUUCAGGUACAUGUAUCUACAAAGUUAAACCAUGUUCUAUGAAGCCA
rnacentral:lncRNA from 1 species